GCGGAUGUGAUGGAAUGGUAGACAUGCAGUGUUGAGAGCGCUGUGGGCGAAACGCCCGUGUGGGUUCGACUCCCACCAUCCGCACCA
rnacentral:tRNA from 1 species